GCUUAACACAUGCAAGUCGAGGGGCAGCAUGGUCUUAGCUUGCUAAGACUGAUGGCGACCGGCGCACGGGUGAGUAACGCGUAUCCAACCUGGCCCGCAGUAGGGAACAGCCCGGCGAAAGUCGGAUUAAUGCCCUAUGUCUUCCUUUGCAGGCAUCCAAUGAGGAAGAAAGAUUUAUCGCUGCGGGAUGGGGAUGCGUCUGAUUAGCUUGUCGGCGGGGUAACGGCCCACCGAGGCAACGAUCAGUAGGGGUUCUGAGAGGAAGGUCCCCCACACUGGUACUGAGACACGGACCAGACUCCUACGGGAGGCAGCAGUGAGGAAUAUUGGUCAAUGGGCGAGAGCCUGAACCAGCCAAGUAGCGUGCAGGACGACUGCCCUAUGGGUUGUAAACUGCUUUUAUGCGGGGAUAAACUUCAGCACGUGUGCUGUUUUGCAGGUACCGCAUGAAUAAGGACCGGCUAAUUCCGUGCCAGCAGCCGCGGUAAUACGGAAGGUCCGGGCGUUAUCCGGAUUUAUUGGGUUUAAAGGGAGCGCAGGCGGGUUGUUAAGCGUGACGUGAAAUGUAGGGGCUCAGCCUUUGAAUUGCGUCGCGAACUGGCGACCUUGAGUGGGUACGACGCGGACGGAAUUCGUGGUGUAGCGGUGAAAUGCUUAGAUAUCACGAAGAACUCCGAUUGCGAAGGCAGUCCGCGAGUCCCCAACUGACGCUAAAGCUCGAAAGUGCGGGUAUCGAACAGGAUUAGAUACCCUGGUAGUCCGCACGGUAAACGAUGGAUGCCCGCUGUUGGCGAUAUACAGUCAGCGGCCAAGCGAAAGCGUUAAGCAUCCCACCUGGGGAGUACGCCGGCAACGGUGAAACUCAAAGGAAUUGACGGGGGCCCGCACAAGCGGGAGGACAUGUGGUUUAAUUCGAUGAUACGCGAGGAACCUUACCCGGGCUUGGAACUGCAGCAGUAGGAUUCAGAGAUGAUGACGCCCUUCGGGGGCUGCUGUGGAAGUGCUGCAUGGUGGCCGUCGCUCCUGCCGUAGGUGUCGGUUAAUGCCCUAACCAACCGCACCCCUCCGUCAGUUGCAUCACGUAAUGUGGGCACUCUAUCGGACUGCCACGAUAAGGUGCAAGUAGGUGGGUGAUAGA
rnacentral:rRNA from 1 species